UACGGGGGGAGCAAGCGUUGUUCGGAUUUACUGGGCGUAAAGCGCACGUAGGCGGAUCUUUAAGUCAGAGGUGAAAUCCCAAGGCUCAACCUUGGAACUGCCUUUGAUACUGGGGAUCUUGAGUCCGGGAGAGGUGAGUGGAACUGCGAGUGUAGAGGUGAAAUUCGUAGAUAUUCGCAAGAACACCAGUGGCGAAGGCGGCUCACUGGCCCGGUACUGACGCUGAGGUGCGAAAGCGUGGGGAGCAAACAGG
rnacentral:rRNA from 1 species